CACGUAGGAGGCGAGCGUUGUCCGGAAUCAUUGGGCGUAAAGAGCGCGCAGGCGGCUUGGCAAGUCGGGUGUGAAAUCCCGGGGCUCAACCCCGGGACUGCAUUCGAUACUGUCAGGCUAGAGGUAGGUAGGGGAGAUCGGAAUUCCUGGUGUAGCGGUGAAAUGCGCAGAUAUCAGGAGGAACACCGGUGGCGAAGGCGGGUCUCUGGGCAGUAACUGACGCUGAGGAGCGAAAGCGUGGGGAGCGAACAGG
rnacentral:rRNA from 1 species